ACUAUCUCUGGGUUAACAGUUCCCAGAAUAGAACUGGGGAAGUAAAAACAAAAAGGUCAUCGAACCGGGUAAGGAGACCAAGGGCUGCUGGCAUUUCACUUCUUUUGUUCUCGUUCUUGGCCGUCGGAAUAGAAACUGAUGGGCCGUUGGUGGAGGGUGGACUCUGCAAAGUGGCCUGAUCGGAUUCCUGAGCUUCUAGGUCAUUGAGCAGGAUCGCGACUGGCCGGAGCUGCGCUACUCCCUCCUGACCUUGAAAGGUGUGACAAGUGGACGUGGGUGCAUUGCUCUGCCAGCCUCUGUUGACUCUCUGUGAUGUACUGGGCAUCGAUCUUAUCUUUGUGAGAAUUUGGUGAGACAGCAAAGGAGUCAUAAGGGGAAAAAUGCCUUCAGAAUGAACAUGGACAUCUUCAUGGAAAAAAAACAUCUUAAAAGGAAAAAAAAAAUCACUGAAUCGAUAACAUAAAACCCAUUGGAAGUGAUCAGAACAGCCAAGGAGAAUCAUGAUUCUAAAUGUUUGAUGUGGCCAAGCAACUGACCUUGAGAUCAGUGCCAUAUUUUCAAAAAUCCUCCAUGGAUGAAAUAUUUCAGAAACAUGUUCAUCAGAGUUGUAAACACAGAGACAGACUUCUCAACGUAGCGGUCGUGUCGGUGGUUUUAAAUACUCUGAGAAGAGUUAACAUCUAAAAGCCUAACAGCUGCAGUUGGUGAAUCAGUCGGAUCACUUCAGUCAGGU